CAGGGCACAUCUUCCGAGCGACCCACCCUAUGUUAGAAAUAGGAAAAUCCAAUAAUAACAACACUAGAAAAAAAAAAAAUAUGAAAAAAAUGAGGCAACUUUGAUCACGCAUGCUCCCUUGUCAUCCACCUCACACACAACAUUUGUUCUAAGUUGGAAAGUCGCGGAAAAGCCAGGAAGUAACGUUACAGUAAGCCAAUCAGUUGAGGGGAAGCAUCUCGUGUUUUAAAUGCCUGUGAUAUCCAAGAGAAGGCGUCAACAGACAGCUAUGUAAGAGUCUAGUGUGAACGUGCAAGCUAACUGUUGGCAAGAAGAAGACAGUGACCCACAGACUGAGACUGAAACUGGAACACUCAAUAUAUAUUGAAGAUGAAGUAAUCCUGUGAGUGGAGUGACUUGUUCUGAAGAGAAAGGUAGGAGAAGCAUGCACGUUGACUGAUGGUACAUGUUCAGAAUAUAUACAUGUUUUUUAUUCAUAUAUUUAUGGAAACAGCCUGGUGCAAUUACUGCAUUUAGUUAUUUAUGCUAAUCUUUUUGUGCUCUCUAUGUAACAUAAAAGGAGAAAUGUAAAAAAAAAAAAAAAAAAAAAAAAC